ACGGGAGGCAGCAGUGAGGAAUAUUGGUCAAUGGACGGAAGUCUGAACCAGCCAAGUCGCGUGAAGGAUGAAGGUAUUAUGUAUUGUAAACUUCUUUAGCAGUGGAGUAAUAAGGGGAUCGCGAUCCCUGAUGCAAGUACACUGAGAAUAAGGAUCGGCUAACUCCGUGCCAGCAGCCGCGGUAAUACGGAGGAUCCGAGUGUUAUCCGGAUUUAUUGGGUUUAAAGGGUGCGUAGGCGGGACGUCAAGUCAGUGGUGAAAUGGUGCGGCUCAACCGUAGCAUUGCCGUUGAAACUGGGGUUCUUGAGUGCGAAUGAGGUGGGCGGAAUGUGUCAUGUAGCGGUGAAAUGCAUAGAUAUGACACAGAACACCGAUUGCGAAGGCAGCUCACUGGGACGCAACUGACGCUGAGGCACGAAAGUGCGGGGAUCGAACAGGAUUAGAUACCCUGGUA
rnacentral:rRNA from 1 species